CCUUGACCUCAAAUCGGGUGAGACUACACGCUGAACUUAAGCAUAUCAAUACGCGGAGGAAAAGAAACUAACAAGGAUUGGCCUAGUAACUGCGAGUGAAGCGGGAAAAGCUCAAAUUCAACAAUCUCCCGGCCUAUGACCAUGCCGGUAGUAAUUCGAUCAUGGUUUCUACG
rnacentral:rRNA from 1 species